rnacentral:misc_RNA from 1 species
GAUGGGAUUCCAGAGAAAUCGAGGGAAACUCUUGAAAAUCCGCAAUAACUUUUUACUGGGUGUACCGAUUUUAAUAAUUUUUAAUUUAAUUGAAAGCUGAUGUUUGUCAUGUGGUCACAUAUAAAUUUUAUUGAGAUCUAAUAACUACUUUUUGAGUAAUCUUUGAUAACGCGUAGUUACUUGACUAUUUUUUCGUCGAUCUACGUUGUAUUACUCGUCGAUGUAAUUGAAGUCGGUUUUUUUUCGUUUGCAAGCAAACACAAUUAUUUGUA